GGUAACGCUGAGGACUCUGGCGGAACUGCCGGUGACAAACCGGAGGAAGGUGGGAUGACGUCAAGUCAGCAUGGCCUUUAUAUCCUGGGCUACACACACGCUACAAUGGGAAGGGACAAUAGGUUGCGAAGCCGCGAGGCGGAGCCAAUCCAGCAAACUUCCCUCAGUUCAGAUUGCAGGCUGCAACUCGCCUGCAUGAAGUUGGAGUUGCUAGUAAACGCAGGUCAGCCAUACUGCGUUGAAUACGUUCCCGGGGCUU
rnacentral:rRNA from 1 species